UUUUUUUUUUUUUUUUUUUUUUGCCCAGGGAUUCAUUUUUGAUAUUCACCAAUUUUACCAAAUCUUUCCUAAAAUUUUGAUGUAAAAAACAAACAGACAAAAACCCAAAACCUUUUCCCCACCAAGUUCCAUUUGACAACUGUCCAUCUCUUCUCUGGGUCCAUCCUGAGGUUUUCCUGUCUUCCCAAACUCAGGACCCAUUCCUCCCCUCCGGCCCUCACUGCUCUGCUCAGGUCAGCAUCUGCGCCCUUCUGUUCUCAGGACCGUUUCGCUGAGUGCAGGGUUCCCCGUGGUCUCCGCACCAUUGCUCAGUCCAUAAUUUCCAUCCUGCUGUCUUCUUUGAAGAGAGGGUUAUUUCAAAGGCUGCUUUUGACAUUUCCGGGUGGAUGGAGUUUCUUGCCAUCCCGCAGAGCUCCGGGCUAUCUGCAUUGGAGGAUGUGGUCAGGAUGACAUGAUUUAUUUCAGUUUUGUUGAAACUUGCUUUGACUUUCAAGGCUGUCCCAUGCCCUGCUCGUGACUGACGCAGAGUCCCCCUCACAUUGACUGGGAAUGGGCAGGCCUCUCGUGGAUAUCGACCAGCCAUUGUAUAUCAAGUUGCAGUGAGACCAGGCACCUCCUCUCCUAUUCAGGCUGGACAAGGCAACCAGCUGAGCCCUGAAACGUGUUCUCCAAGGAGUGGAUGCUGGGGGAAUCAUGGAGGUGGGAUUGGUGAGGACGGAGAGUGGGGAUGUUGACAGCAACGAGGGAGGACCAAGCCUUCGUGAGUGCUUACCACGAUCCUGGCGAGGUACUAAUCCCUUGACACCAAUCCCCAUGCCAGCCGUAUGAGGUAAGAGUAAUUGCUUUAAUAAUGGGUAAUAUUUACUACUUAGUGCAUAGCCGGCAUUCUUGGAAGAGCUUACAAGUGUCAACCCUUUCAAGGCAGGAACCAUUAUGCCCCCUGGAUUAGAGAUGAGGAAACAGGGACAUUUAACAGCUCACCUGAGCUCUUCCAGCCAGUUACUUGAGUUCAUAUGUUCUCCUGGCUCUCCUGGUUCUCCUGGCUCUAGGCAGGAGUUGCCGGGACCCCUGGGGAACGGGUGUCUACCUUCUGCAUAGACUGGAGAAGUCAUCGUGGUGGAGGCUAUGCCGGCCCAGCCAUAGGGAUUCGCAAUUUCCCAGGUGGGGCAUGAGGCAGCUUGGUGUUUAGGUGCUUUGAAUGGGUUCCGGGAAAACUUGGGGCAUUGGGUGAGACGCUUGGCUUAAAGAAUGGGAAAGAGCCUGGUACCAAAGGGGCCCAGCAAGGUUGGAGGGCUUGAGCUGCAUUCUGAGGUCUGUGAGGGGCUGGAAGCCCUGGCCUCUCCCCCAGCUGUCGAGAUCUAGCCUAGCCUAAGCAGGCGUGGGAAUGCUAAGGCUUCCUAAAACCAAGCCCUCAGCAGCCUCCCCAACCCCAAGAAAGGGUGGGUCCUGCCUCUCACCCCACUCCUGUCACACCCCAGGCCUCUCUCCCACCACCCCUCAUGCUGCUCCCAGGCUUGGCAUACGGCUUCUUCCACCGCCAUGAUGCCCAUUCCUCUCCCUCCAGGCUCUCAGUUUUCUGUCAGCCUGUCCCCAGUUCAUCCCUCUUCAGGAACCCCUCAGAGACACUCCAGGAACCCCUCGGUAUACACACUGCCUACCACAUCAGGCCCACCCAGGUGAG